rnacentral:lncRNA from 1 species
GUUUCCUUUUUCUCAAAAGAAUGACGCUAAAGCUUGGUUCACUUCUCUUGCUCCUGGAUGUGUGAGUAGUCCCCAGGAUAUGGUCUAUUACUUCUGUGAGAAAUAUUCCCUACCCAUAAGAAGCAAGCUGCCUUGGAGGAAAUAUAUAACUUUGCUCAACUCAAAGAAGAGAGUCUCCCAGAAGCUUGGGGGAGGCUCAUCCAGCU